rnacentral:sRNA from 2 species
CGGGGACCGCCGCCUAAUCGCCCUCGCGGCGAGCCGGGGAACCAUAUUUCCUCGGGGUGAAUCCGCCUUUUGAAGGUGGUAGGGAUUGCUUCCGUCCCGAACCCGUCAGCUAACUCGGUCGGCGGCCGACGGAAGGAUUC